AUUGAACGCUGGCGGCAUGCCUUACACAUGCAAGUCGAACGGCAGCACGGGUGCUUGCACCUGGUGGCGAGUGGCGAACGGGUGAGUAAUAUAUCGGAACGUACCUUAUCGUGGGGGAUAACGCAGCGAAAGCUGCGCUAAUACCGCAUACGCCCUGAGGGGGGAAAGCGGGGGGACCGUAAGGCCUCGCGCGAUUAGAGCGGCCGAUAUCUGAUUAGCUUGUUGGUGGGGUAAAAGCCCACCAAGGCGACGAUCAGUAGCUGGUCUGAGAGGACGAUCAGCCACACUGGGACUGAGACACGGCCCAGACUCCUACGGGAGGCAGCAGUGGGGAAUUUUGGACAAUGGGGGCAACCCUGAUCCAGCAAUGCCGCGUGAGUGAAGAAGGCCUUCGGGUUGUAAAGCGUCUUUGUCUAGGGAGAAACGAGCAGCUCUAACACAGCAUGCGAAUGACGGUACCUGAAGAAUAAGACACCGGCGUAACUACGU
rnacentral:rRNA from 1 species